rnacentral:rRNA from 1 species
GAUGAACGCUGGCGGCGUGCCUAAUACAUGCAAGUCGAGCGAACAGACGAGGAGCUUGCUCCUCUGACGUUAGCGGCGGACGGGUGAGUAACACGUGGAUAACCUACCGAUAAGACUGGGAUAACGUCGGGAAACCGGAGCUAAUACCGGAUAAUAUAUUGAACCGCAUGGUUCAAUAGUGAAAGACGGUUUUGCUGUCACUUAUAGAUGGAUCCGCGCCGCAUUAGCUAGUUGGUAAGGUAACGGCUUACAAAGGCGACGAUGCGUAGCCGACCUGCGAGGGUGAUCGGCCACACUGGAACUGAGACACGGUCCAGACUCCUACGGGAGGCAGCAGUAGGGAAUCUUCCGCAAUGGGCGAAAGCCUGACGGAGCAACGCCGCGUGAGUGAUGAAGGUCUUCGGAUCGUAAAACUCUGUUAUUAGGGAAGAACAAAUGUGUAAGUAACUAUGCCCGUCUUGACGGUACCUAAUCAGAAAGCCACGGCUAACUACGUG